GAUGAACGCUGGCGGCGUGCCUAAUACAUGCAAGUCGAGCGAACAGACGAGGAGCUUGCUCCUCUGACGUUAGCGGCGGACGGGUGAGUAACACGUGGAUAACCUACCUAUAAGACUGGGAUAACUUCGGGAAACCGGAGCUAAUACCGGAUAAUAUAUUGAACCGCAUGGUUCAAUAGUGAAAGACGGUUUUGCUGUCACUUAUAGAUGGAUCCGCGCCGCAUUAGCUAGUUGGUAAGGUAACGGCUUACCAAGGCAACGAUGCGUAGCCGACCUGAGAGGGUGAGCGGCCACCCUGGAACUUGCACACGGUCCAGCGUCCUAGGGGCGGAGCCAGGAGGAAUUCUUCCGCAAUGGCGAAAAGUUUGACGGAACACCCCCGCGGGAGGAAUAAAGUUCUUCGUUUCUAAAAACUUUUUAUUUGGGGAAAAAAAAAUGGGAAAGAAACAAUACCCUUCUGGACGUUCCCUAAUAAAAAAGCCACGGCAAACUACGUC
rnacentral:rRNA from 1 species